rnacentral:rRNA from 1 species
UACGAAGGGGGCUAGCGUUGCUCGGAAUUACUGGGCGUAAAGGGAGCGUAGGCGGACAGUUUAGUCAGAGGUGAAAGCCCAGGGCUCAACCCUGGAAUUGCCUUUGAUACUGAUUGUCUUGAGUAUGGGAGAGGUGUGUGGAACUCCGAGUGUAGAGGUGAAAUUCGUAGAUAUUCGGAAGAACACCAGUGGCGAAAGCGGCUUCCUGGUCCAGCACCGACGUUCAGGCACGAAAGCGUGGGGAGCAAACAGG